AAUCCACCCAGUCAGACCUGGUUAAUGCAUGCUAGGUUUAGCUGCAUACCUGCUGGUCUAAAUGGCUUUAAACAAGGACUUGGUCUGAUUCUCCAACAUGGACUGCUGGCUGGUCUGCCGGCUGCACUGGAGAGAAAGCACCAGUGAGAUGCUGUCAUGGAAGAAAUCGGAGACGACGUUUCAGAUGGAUUCUUUUCAAAAGGCUGCUGAGAGCAGGGAUUCCCCAGCUGGGAUGGCUUCCCCCUCUCCCGCCUCUUCAGGACCCAAAGCAGCGAGACUCGAUACUCCUUCCCCCGCCCUGGUGCAUGUCUGUCCAUACGUUCCAGUCGACCUCCCGAUUCCAGGAGCCGUGAGAAGAGUGGGGAGAUCUGGCGAUUGCUUGGCUGACAGGAGGGAGGCUGCUGGUAACAACAAACCAACGCCCCAUCCCUGGAAACUGAUGUGAUUCUGAAAUCCAAAAGACUGGUGUGAUGCCCUGAAUUUGAUCUGAUCCAGCCCAAACCUCGGGCUUCCUACAGCCGCAUAGUGUUAUAAACCAUAUGGCCUGGGUGUCUACCAUGGAGAAUGAAAGAGUCCAGACAAGGGCCUAACAAUUCCUGCUAUGGCCAGAAAUAUCACAGCCACUACCCAGCAAUUCAGGUCAUUGCGAAAAUCACAACAUCCCCCCCCCCCCCGCCUCAGUGAAGCCCUCUCGGCAACUUUUCCUUGUAGCUGGCCUUUGUGUGUCCUCUCCAGGUUGCCUGACCACAGACAGAGAAAGGCCAGUAAUGCAAGUAGAUUAACCACAUAGUUAAGGCCCUGUUGCACUAUUGAGAUGGCACAAAGGUCCAGAAUCUGGCUUCAAAUAACCAGCAACCUCGUUGGAUGGGAAUUCCUUGCCACAGCAAGCACUGCUGAAUCUGUGCCCGCCCCCCGCCCCCGACUGACUUCCUGGUAUACGGGCACGUUGGGGCCCUGGCAGAGCAGACCUCUGCUAGCACAAUCCUCCAUUGCUUUGGGGUCCACAGAGAACUCUGGGCUGCUGGGACAACUUGGAACCACUCGGCAGCUGCUCUAAGUUGCGUCAGAGAUAGAUCUCAAAAAUCUGGGAGCUGAAAUUGGCUCCCAGAUGCCCCCCUGCACAGCGCAGGAGAGAACGGAUCUCUAAUGCUUGCCAACUGCAUCAGUAGGGUGGAUGGUUGCGGUGGCUUUGAUUGCACAGUGAUUGAUGUUUCAAAGCCUGAGGCUGAGAGACAGCAGUGGGAUGGGAAAGCUCCUCUUUCGGGGGUGGCUUAGUGUCUGGGAAAGCCUCAGUCUUUGGAGUUCCUGAGUCACUGUUUGCGGCUGAUGUACUCUAUGUUCCUGGGUUACUCCUUGAAGAAUAUUUUCCAAAUAAAGCAUGCAUGUUGUGGGGUCUGUUUCUCCAGAGGUUAAUGAUACUGAUUCACCAGUUUCAUGAAUUGUGUCUGUUUCCCUCUCACCACAUUUGUGUCUGCUCUGCAGUCCUCUGGGGAAGUUCUCAUACAAGAGACUUUGUGCAAUUCUCCCUGUUACCAUCUUAGCAUAACAACUUGA